UCUUUUGCUGGCUAUCCAUCACAUCUGAUCGACCGAGACACCCUGAUUCCUUGUCUUUAUUUGCUUUCUGCAGAAUUCUCCUAUCUCUUUUGGUUCAAGUUCAACUGGUAAAAAGCUUUUCACUGCAUAUUUAAGGAAGUGGGAAAAAAAUAACAAAAAAAGGCUGCUUCACAGGGGAGAGAGAGGAGUGAGAAACAGCCUUGCAGGCACCAAGGUCAGUGAAGGAGGGGGACAGGUGCUCCGGGUGCCAGAGCAGAAGUCCCCUGCAGCAUGUGAAGAGGCCCCUGGUGGAGCAGGCUGUCCCCCUGCAGCCCAUGGGUCCCACAUGGAGCAGAUCUCCACGCUGCAGCCCCCCCGUGGAGGAGCCCCCGCUGGAGCAGGUGGAUGUGGCCUGGAGGAGGCUGCGGCCCAUGGAGAGCCCCCGCAGCAGGAGCAGGCCCCGGGCCGGAGCUGCAGCCCGUGGACAGGAGCCCCCGCAGCAGGAGCAGGGGGUCUGGGGGGAGCUGCCGCCCACCCGUGGGGGACCCGUGCUGGAGCAGUUUGCUCCUGGGGGAUGGAUGGACCCCGUGGUACGGAGCCAUGUGGGAGC